UGUAUACCUCUUUUUGUAUAAUGUGUAUAUAUUUCUGAUGGAUAUAUAGCCAGAAGUGGAAUUGCUUGAUUAUGAGGCAUGCAUUUUUUGAAGACUAACAGUUUUCUCAAGUAGCUUCUUCGUUUAGAGUCCAACCAAUGUUGUCUAUUUUCUAAAAGCUCCACAUUCUUGUCAGCACUUCGUAUUAUCUAUCUUUCUCAUUUUAACCAUUCUAGUUGAGUAAUAUGUAGUGAUAUUUCAUUGUAAUUUUAAUUUUCAUUUCCCUGAUGUCUAGUGAUUCUGUGCAUUAGUUUUUUUUGUGGACUUUUGAAGUGUUUUGUAUGGGAAACUAUUCCUCUAUUUAGCUAGCUAUUUUGCUGGAAAUUAUUGUAUAAAAUAUCUAAUAAUUUAAUAAUAUAUUCUUCCUUCUUCUCUUCAAAAUUUUAUUAAAAUAAUUUUUCAGUAUUCGUGAAGUCAACUUUUAAUUUGUCCAACCUGUCUUUGAGCUCCCCCUGCUGUUAUCCAUUUAAACUAUGUACCUGUUGAUCAUGCAUAAUUUUCUUUGAAAUGAUGGAUUCUUAGUCAAUAAGCUAUUUUAAGCAAAAGCAUUUUUUUUCCAGAGACUAAGGGUAUAAAAUAAACUUAAAUGCUAACUCAGGACAUAAGAAUUAUUAAAAUUAGUGCUUAAAAACUAGUAUGUUACAUAUGGGAAAUCUGCAUACCUUCACAAUUUCACUGUGAAUCUCACUUCUCUAAAAAAUGAAGUCUUGAAAAGUUACUACUUUAAAACACUUAUCUUACUUGUAAUGUGAAACCAUUUAUAUUAAUGUAGCAAAUCAGUGUUUCAAAUUAUUAAAAACAAACUACUGAGCCAUAUGUUAGGUAUAUUGUAAGCACGUAGAAGUCAACAACAUGACUUCUACUCUUUCUACUUUCUCAUAGUUCCCAGAAUAUUUGUUUUGACAUAAUUAUUGAAAAGAAUUAAAAGCAUUUAUUCCAUUGUCUUGCUGCAUCUAAAUUCAUGGUGUUAUGUUUCUUUAGGGCAGUGGAGCUAAAAUGAAUAAUGGAUACCAUGUAGCGUUUUUAUAUAUUUCAUCUAUCAGCUAUGACAGAUAUCUCCCUAAUUCCAGUAGAAAAAAAUGUGUUUCUUUCCUAAGCUUGCCAGCUACUUAACUUCAUAAAGGCCUAUUAGACAUUCAGAAAUCAUCAGGAAGCAAAAAAAUUCAUAGUCUUAACAAUGUAAAUCUGAAGUCUUAGAAUGAGUGCAUCAGAAUAUAGACAUUGAAUAUGGGGGAAAUCGGAGUUGAAAUUCUAUCUCUAACAACUGCUGGAUGUAUUAGGAUCUGUUUUUAGUUUCCAACAGUAAAAUGGCACUAAUAAGGAUAUAUUUUAUAAUGACAUAUGCAAAAUGUAAACUGCUUAGCACAGUGCUUGGCACUUAGUAGAUUCUAAGCUGUAGUUUAAACAGCUAUUGUGUUAUGAAUAAGCCAUAGGUUGACACUUUUUCUCUUGAGAAUGUGCUGUUUAAGUGUAGAAAGCCUACUUUCCCUGCCCAUGUUAAUGUCCUUAACAUUCAUCUUGAAAAUGUUGCCACAUACCCUUAUAUUAAUGCACUGCAAGAGGCCAAUCUAAUGUAGGCAUAAGAGUAAUCUGCUCUUCUCAGCACCCUCUGCUAAUAAUGCUGUUAGAACGUAUUCUGGAAAGACUGUUGAUGCCAGAGCCAACUCAGAUUUAGGCAGGUGGAUGUUUUCAACUUCUGCUAAUAAUAAUAUCACUUCUGCACUCUCCUCUGAGUUCUUUUUGCUCUAUUAAAGCUGCAGUUGUCUUAGGCUAGCUUCUGUGCAUAACCUGGGAAUGCAUAUUUUAGCUUUUUACUUCCCUCCCAAAGAAGGGAGCAGAAGAGGAGAACCAAAUAGCCAAGAUUUAGGAGAUGAAACUGUUGUAUCCAUUGUGUGGAUUCAGAUAAGCCUCCAUCUAAAAUGUGGUUCAAAUGUUAAGACUAAUGAGCAACCCUACCCUUCUCUCUCUCUCACUUUCACACACACACACAUACACACACACAUACACACCUACCAAGAAAGUAUGAAAAUAUUUAUUGCUUAUAAAAUUGUGAGGUUUUCUGGGGAGAGCAGAGCAGGCCUCCCAAGAAGGUUUCAAAUAGCUUGAGAGAGCGGGGGGAAAUGACUGGCUUGAGAUUGUAUGACUUUUAGUGGGUGAGGCUGUGCUGAGAGUUCUGUGUGGGCGGACUCUGGUGUGGUUUGAAUUUCCCACCAUCACCAAAGGAGAGAACACAUGGGCUUUCUUAACAGUUUUCCCAAAUGUAGGACAGAGGGGAAGAGAGAGGUAUAACACUUUAAAGCUAUCAGCAGUGACACAUCAAAAAAUGGACAUCGAUUUUUUAUUACAGAAAUGAAAAUAUAUGAGAACAGAAAUGAACCCCAGUGCUACACAACUGACGUUUCCUAGGAAUGAGAACUAGGGUAGCUUUUUUAAAGCAUGUGUUUAUAUUGAUUGGCACACACUAGUUAGCCAGAUUUAACUGGGUUGAGAUGUUGGACUUUCCCUUUGAACCUCAGUUAGGUAAAUUGUAAGAACUGUGUUACCUUCAAAUUACUUAAAAUAAUACUCAAUUUCUUACAAAUGCAAAAUGGAUUGUGGCUUAAUUUGCAUAUGUAUAUAACAGAUACUUUGUUCAACUAUAUUAUGAAAUACUAUAGUAUGUAACCUUCUUAAACAGGAUGACAAAUCAGUGUUAGGAUUCAAAUGGGCCCUAUAUUACUCUGUAUCUCUCAUAGGCCAACUGUUAAUUCUGGUACACAUUACAUUUAGCACAUGCUAUUACAUUUAUUGUUUGCAUAUUUUUAUUUGUUAUUUUUUGGUUCAUUUAACAAGUAUUUUGUUGUUUCCCUAACUCAUCCUAGACCCAAUAUAUAAAAAUAAAUGAUAUUUUGUUUUGUCUUAAGAAGUUCACAGUAUUUCAGGAAACGGGAAUACAGAAUAACAGAUAAGAAAUAUUAUAAGACUUCUAGUAGAGAAAUAUGCUUACAAUCCUAUGUAUGUUCCUUUACACUUAAGAACCUUUAGAAAUAAAUACAUUUUAACUGUUCUGGAGAGUUUCAACUCCAAAAUAGCCUUUGCUCGUAUCAAGAAAGUAAACCACCUUCCACUUCAGGUGGGCUUACUCACCAUACCUGGGGACACAUUACUGUUCCAGCUCACUGAAAGGUCAUAAUGCAGGAUGAAACCAAACUUGAAAAUUAUAGUGAAACAUAGUAGAAUAAUUUAGAAACACAUACUCUGAUGUUUUUAGAAAGUAAGGAAAUAAAAUUUUAAGUUAAUUGAACUUGGAAUAAACUCAGUUCUGAGCAUUCCAUUCUACUCUGCAGUUGUCAUUUAUAGACAGCUGUUAAUCAUAGUACCUACAGACGAGAUAUUGUUAUCUACUUAUUUAUAUUGAUGACAGGAUAUCCCUGGGAAAACAGGAUCACCAUUGUACUGUGUAGUCUUGGUUGUCAUGGGAACUUUUGCUGUGAACCAGUAGUGAGAGCACUUUCAUUGAAUAAAGCUGCCUCUGGAUAGCCAUGAGUUGCGUGAAGCUAUUUUACUAAUUUUAUUUGCCUUUUACUUGAAAGCAUAAGUUUCUGAGGAUGUAAUUACAGUUUCUCCUGUAUUUCUACAGGAGUAGUCAUAGAUGAUGGACCUCCUGAACUUUUAUCACUUUGCCAUACUCUGUAAAAUUACCUAAGCGCUCCAGAGCAUGAAAUUGACACUCAGGGAUAUUGUAGCCUAACCUUUUUUCCUAUCCUGAAUAUUACUGAAUUGAAGGGUCUUCCACAGCAAACCCUCUUUAAAGUAUGCUUUCUGAUGCUUUACCUUAGGCGAUACACUUGUCUUUAGAUUUUUCUAGAUUAUUUUCUCCUAAUACAGAACUUAGCAUUUAAAUGACAAUUUUAAAAAUUAAAAUCAACUCUUCAAAAGAAAUUAAGUAAAAACAAUCUCAGGAAAAAAAAGCCUUUUAAUCUGCUACAAAACACCUCUAUCCUAUCAAGAUAUUGUGAUUGAGAAUUAGAAAUAAUGUGGAAUCAGAUGUUAGUUUGUCCUUUUCAUUGGAAUUUCUCCAUGCUUUAGUUUUUACAUCAAGAAAAACAAUCACUGCAAUAUUCCCUAAGGAGAGUUUUACAAAAAAAAAAAAAAGAGAGACAAAACAAACUAUACACACACACAUACAACCUUUAGGAAUAAA